rnacentral:lncRNA from 10 species
CAGACCCGCUCGGGGGUCGCGUAACUAGUUAGCAUGCCAGAGUCUCGUUCGUUAUCGGAAUUAACCAGACAAAUCGCUCCACCAACUAAGAACGGCCAUGCACCACCACCCACGGAAUCGAGAAAGAGCUAUCAAUCUGUCAAUCCUGUCCGUAAAUCUUUUUUUAAAGACUUUUUUUUUUUAUUACAAAAGAGGACAAAUUGAUCUGGCUAUAUAAAACUUUAGAGUAUUUGCACAAAUGUCACAUUGGUAAAAUAUCUGUAGUAAACUUAGGUAAAGAAUAAUAUCUUCAAGAUAUCAAGGGUUCUUACAAAUUUGAAAGAAUCCCAACCCUAGUAAAAAACUGAGGGAAGAGUGAGAACAACUUACAAAAUAAAUAGAUCUAUGGAAAGACAUUUAACUUUAUUGGAAGUAAAAGAAAUUCAAUAUAAACAAUGACA